CAAUAAAAACAACCAAAUUACAGCAACUAAAAAUGACAAAGAACACUGGCAAAAGUACACUUGGAGAAAAAAUCACACUCACUUGAAAACCACCAGCUUAGGGCAUCAUUCUCAGAGACUAAAAACCACCUGAGGACAGCUCUGUGCCUUGGCACCUGUCUUAAGAGAAGCACCUGGACCUGCUAAGGCCUCAACAACACUACCACCAAAUAUGUCAGGGGAAAACUAUUAAAAAACACUCCA
rnacentral:lncRNA from 1 species